rnacentral:rRNA from 1 species
GAUGAACGCUAGCUACAGGCUUAACACAUGCAAGUCGAGGGGAAACGAUAGAGAAAGCUUGCUUUUUCUAGGCGUCGACCGGCGCACGGGUGAGUAACGCGUAUCCAACCUGCCCAUCACUUGGGGAUAACCUUGCGAAAGUAAGACUAAUACCCAAUGACGUCUCUAGAAGACAUCUGAAAGAGAUUAAAGAUUUAUCGGAGAUGGAUGGGGAUGCGUCUGAUUAGCUUGUAGGCGGGGUAACGGCCCACCAAGGCAACGAUCAGUAGGGGUUCUGAGAGGAAGGUCCCCCACAUUGGAACUGAGACACGGUCCAAACUCCUACGGGAGGCAGCAGUGAGGAAUAUUGGUCAAUGGACGAGAGUCUGAACCAGCCAAGUAGCGUGCAGGAUGACGGCCCUAUGGGUUGUAAACUGCUUUUAUAAGGGAAUAAAGUGGGAGUCGUGACUCCUUUUGCAUGUACCUUAUGAAUAAGGACCGGCUAAUUCCGUGCCAGCCGCCGCCGUAAGAC